AUUAAAAUAUUUUUUUGCUUUUAGCACACAUUCACCAUUCGUUUGUCAACGAGCGCGUACAAAUUUCCGCUGUGUAAUGCUCUCGCCGCUUAUGGCGCGUAUGAGUUCUACAUUCACUUUUUCUUCCAUUCAACAAAUGCGGCCAGCAAAUCAGCGCAUAUCACAAUCGAAGAAAAGAAAUCAAUUGUCUAUAAAACGAAGACGAAAAAAAAAAUAAAGCAGAUCGCUCACUAGUGGCAUUCGAACACUAAAUAUUGGCUGAACUCCAUCUCCACAACUUAUUAUCGGCCAAUGAGAUGACAAAGUGGACAAUUGAAUUUGAAACGCUUCUACGAAGUUGUCACGCUCAUCUCCAGCUCGUGAUUGAUUUCGUGCGACGCACACUUGAACCCGGAAUUAGCAUUGAAAAACCUUAGCGAUUAGUCAUAUAUAAAUUAAUAAUGGAAAUAAUAAAGCAAGUUGACGACGCAACGGUGCGAAAGACAAAUUUAACAGUAAACAAAAGCAAAUUAGUCAAUUACUGAAGCGCCCAACAACGUUCGCUGUGCGACAGCUGCAGCAGCGCACCGCAACUUCAAAUCCGCAACACACGACGACCACAACGCCAGCCAUUCCAGCUAUGCUCAACAACAAUAACAACAAACGGCGCGUCAUCAGCAAUCAGCACAUCAUCGACAGUCAAGGACGUUGAAGGCCAUUCAUCGACAUUUUACAUUUGUUAUUGCGCCAGCUAUUGGUUGUUGUGAUGGCGAUGUUGAGCUUGGUGUGCUGCUUGUUAGUUGUUAUUAUUUUUGUUGUAAAGCUUUUGUUCCCGCUUUAUACAAAAAAAAAUCGUUUUUUUUUGCUCUGCCAACCACAUUCGUUUUCAUUAUUUCCACAUAUUCGUUGGUGCGCAUGCGCAUCUGUGUAUUUACUCGUGUGUUUGUGUGUGUGUGUGUGUUGGGAGGUUUGUACGGAAGUAGACAUCUAAUUUUUCACACCUGACUUCGAAGGAGGCGUAACAUAUAUUUUGUGCUGAUUCUAUAGCUUCGAGCCAGCCACAAGCGAAAAUUGUGCUCUGUGCGCCUCUGUGUGUAAGUAGUUAAGGCAUUAAUUCUAAAGGAAGACGAUUUUUCUUUUCGUCGGAUUAUUUACCAAUCAACUGAACAAGAAGUAGUAAUUAUUUGGCCUGUAGUAUUUUGUUUUUAAUUAUCAAGUUGUUUGUGAAAACGAAAUUACACUGAAGCGUAAAUGGUUCCAUUAAAAUUAAAGGAAAAAAUUAAAAGAUUUGAAAGCUUAUAGGAGAUAUAAGCUUACGUCAACCGAAAUAUUGUGACGUAGAUGGAGCAGUUCGGAUUGAAUUCUUUUAGGAUUGAAUUCUAAUUUUUUUAGAGACUGCUACUGCAAUGCUUUCGAGGGACUGUUGAACAGCAAAAGCACAAUUAAUGUUGCCUACAUUCCGGCGCAAUUGCAUAAUACACUAACAGCCGGUUUCACGAAAGUUUUUAAUGGAAAAUUAAGUUCCAUUUAGUUUUAAUUUUAAUUUUUAUUUAACUUUGCACUUAAAUUUCCUGCGUUUCACCAUUAUUGACAUUUGGCAUCCAAAAAAUUAAAAGGCAGGGAUGUUGGUAA